rnacentral:tRNA from 1 species
GCCUUCGUGGUGUAGUGGUCAACACUCUUGGCGCAUAACGAGAGGUCCGAGGUUCGAGUCCUGGCGAGGGCA